rnacentral:rRNA from 1 species
AGUGAACGCUGGCGGUAGGCCUAACACAUGCAAGUCGAACGGCAGCACAGUAAGAGCUUGCUCUUACGGGUGGCGAGUGGCGGACUGGUGAGGAAUACAUCGGAAUCUACUUUUUCGUGGGGGAUAACGUAGGGAAACUUACGCUAAUACCGCAUACGACCUACGGGUGAAAGCAGGGGAUCUUCGGACCUUGCGCGAUUGAAUGAGCCGAUGUCGGAUUAGCUAGUUGGCGGGGUAAAGGCCCACCAAGGCGACGAUCCGUAGCUGGUCUGAGAGGAUGAUCAGCCACACUGGAACUGAGACACGGUCCAGACUCCGACGGGAGGCAGCAGAGGGGAAUAUUGGACAAUGGGCGCAAGCCUGAUCCAGCCAUACCGCGUGGGUGAAGAAGGCCUUCGGGUUGUAAAGCCCUUUUGUUGGGAAAGAAAAGCAGCAGGUUAAUACCCCGCUGUUCUGACGGUACCCAAAGAAUAAGCACCGGCUAACUUCGU